GUGUGGGACAGCCUCCCCGAGAAGCCCCGUGGGAGUGCGCGUGGCUGAAGGCACAGAUGCCAACAAGGUUUACGAUCAGCCCUCCAACAGAGACCGGCUGUGAGAGGGAGAAAAGUCUUCAGCUUCACUGCAUCCUCACAGACAGACAAUAGAAGAGCAAAAAGCUACAGGUUGCCUUAUUCCAAAGAACCAUAAAAGCUCGUCCAAAAGAAUUCUGCACACCUCAAUUUUCUGAUUGGCUUCCCAGUCACACAGACCACAGAUUUACUACAGUUUAGACAAGAAUACGUACAUAAAACAAAGAAGACAGCACUCACUACCACCCCUCCAGAAAGAACAUGCUCUGUGCUUUCAUGGUGUGGUGGCUUGUUCAUAGCUCGAAGCUGGUCUGUUAUUGGAUGCGUCCAAAAGUUUCCAAAAAGCAGUGCACUAAUGAAAAUAAGAAAGGAUCCAUAUCGAGCACAUGUGGAAGCUUCCAUUUUCACAGAGCAUAUGGACUCCACGUAGAAAUCCAGGAUCACAACAAAGAAGAUGACUGUUAUGAAAGGCAUGAUGAGAGAAGACCAAGACUCUACUUUACUCUGCAACAAAAAAAAAAAAAUUUCAAACACAACUGCUCACCGGAAGAGUGAUUUGUAUAUAUAGCAUUAAAUGUAGUUCACUUGAAUGACAAGUGUUUUCACUAAUCCAUAAAACAUAAAUACUUUUAUAUUUUCAAUUUAUCAUAUAAACAUAUCAUUCCAGAUAUAAAAAGAGACAUAUAUCUAAAAUGCACUGAAGCCCUUUAUUUUAAAUACUUUUGUGUUCGUAAAAGGAAUUCUAACAAUGCCAUGGUUGCAAUGGCCUACUCUCCCUAUGCAUGCAAGCAUGAAGAGCAUUUUUAAAAAUGACAAUAAAUUAUUUACUUCUUAGGGAUAAAAGAGCACUGUAUUUAUAAAGUCAUUAAUGCUUGUGCAAUGUUAGUAGAUGAACCCAAGGUAUAGUAUCUGCGCUAGAAGGAUGAAACACAGUUAUCACACAAAACAGGAAAUUAAAGUAUCACACAGAUAAAAAACGAAUAUAGAAGAAAAACAUAAUGGAAAAAUUUCAAACAAAGCUUACUACAAAAAAUAAAGACAGCAACAUUGAUAAUUUUAAAGAUACUUUAAAGGAAAGAUUUAAAUUGCAAUUCACAAUCAUUAUAAAAAUUAUUUAUUUUUGUACUUAUUAUCUUACCUCUGUUGUCAGAGAGAGAACAAUAACCCAUGGGCACAACAGAAGGACAGAAACAAGAUGAGACAAAGCUUGAAGACGCUUGGCUCCACCUACAUCUACAGAUAGUUUUCGGGAUGCCAUGUGAAAACCAACCUUGCAGCAUAAUGCCAGUACCAGAAGUAGUACUCCACCCUGGAAACAUAACAGGAUUCCAUUAGCAUUUCUUAAGUACUAAAAACCUCACUCCAAACACAGUGACACUUACAAGGAGGAAAUAUUACUGUAUUUUCCUUAACCUGGAAACAAAAGCCAAAACGAGGAUAUUUCCUGUAAUUUUUACUCUAGCUACAAACACUAACAUAGCAUACACAGCUGUGCCUUAGCACUACUCACAACAGCCCGAGCUGAAUUUUAAAACUCUUAAUAGUAUUAACUGGCAUACACCAGCAGCAAAAUGGUAGCAAUCAGCAUCUGAGGAAGAAGAAUAAUCACCCAAAGUUUUCCCAUCUUCCAUUAUUAAAAGCAUGUUGAAAGCAUACAUAAACCCCCAAAGAUUCACAUAAUCUUGUCCUCUAAACCCCUCAUAGCCUUUUCAUCCACUUACCUUUGAACACACCUUAUUUCUUCACAAUAUACUUUCAAAAUUUGUCUUUAAAUUAAUUACCAGAUACACAGCACCUCAUCUCCCUUAGAUCACACUUGCUUUUUUGCACCAUUAACCAGUCUUUCUAAUAUUUCAUUUAUUUUUACAUUAAUACAUUUUCAGCUGCUCAAUUUUUUUCCUGUUUCAGUCCUCAAUGAAGCCGCUUUAGCAAGACUAAGCUAACACAACUCAAUCAGCCAGUUUAACCCCGUACAGUCAGAUUAUGAUAUUCAGCUAUUCAUACCACCAAUUACAAUGGGACUAUCUUACUGAGAAGUAUCAGUGUCUUCAAAUACAAGUAUAAUGUAAAGGAAAGACUGGGGAAAUCUAAAGAUGCAGAAGGAAAACACAGGCCCCAAAAAACAACAACAGGCAAAGGCAGCAGAACACAAAAAGCAGAGACUUACCAGAUAACUCAGGACAUAUCACCACUGCAGAAAGCUAGAUGCUGGUAUCUUAUGAACUUUAAGUGUGAUUACUUUCUUCACAGUGUCUUUCUGCCUGCCAGAAUGCACUGCUACUACAACCUGAUGAUUUAAUAUUUCAUAGCAUCAAUGAGCUACAAACAAGAUCCGUACAAACUGCUGGAUUUUCUCUUAUGGGACCUGAAGGCUAAAGAACUAUACAAAGACUAUGAGAAACAACAGCUCUGAAGUUCUUUUGUCUGGAAAGGACAUAGGUAGCUAUGAAAUCCCAGCUCCCAGAGCUUUCACCACUCAGGCUUAAACCACUGCAAGUAGUAUGUCUUACUAUUUCACCACCAAUUAAACUAAAAAAGCACAUUUUCUAUGAACAUGGACCCAAAACAGUUUGUUCCAGGUAAAGAAGUACUUGAAUUUAUAGGAUUUAGUAUGUUUUACAUUUGAUAAAAGAGAUUUUUAAAUACCUUUGCUGGUCCUCCGCCUGAGCUUGUGAACAAGACACUAAGGAGUGACAGCACAACCACAUCACUGUGCUCAAACAGUAAUAAUGUCCUAUAAAAAAAAAAAGGAAAUAAAUACUCCCUUUACAAUGAGUUUGCCUCAAAACCUUGAUAUACACUAUUUCAGCUAAAAUUAGUGACACAACAAAUAUUUAUCCUACGAUUACAAGACCAGGUUUAAAAAUUAAAAAGAAAAAAACCACAAAUGAAUUUGCCUUCACCAGCAAUACAUCUAGCUGCAGACAACUAUACAUGUUACAAAACAGGAACUUCCUAACUCAAGUAACAGAUUAAAAUUAUUAAUUUAUGGACAACUUUAAAUUGUAUUUUCUUCUAGCAAUACAACAAGAUACCAACUUGCCCAAAAUGGAGUUAUUAUUCCCAUUAUAAUACCUCCUCUAAAUAAGUUCUGCUCCCAGAGAAAAAAAGAUGUCCUGUUCUGUACUAAUGCAUACUGGUCAUUGAGGUGCUGAUGAACUAGUAGAUUAUGCCACCUCAAAACCUCUUAAUUGCUGAAAAUAAAAAAUUAUAGCUUCCAUACUACCUCCUUCAGACAGCAAAGGCUAACUACCAAGUUGUACUGACAGCUUUCCUGAGCAGAACAUGAAAGUAAUUAUUGCUCUCAAGUUUACCAAACGCUUUUGUAUUGCUCUGCACAGCAAUACAACAUGACUGCACCCAUGUAACUGGUUUGGUUUGGGAAGACUGCCAGCACCCAGAAAGACAUAAGAGUAUUAACUACAUUAACAUAAUUAAUCACAAUAGUAUUACUCUUAGUUAUGCCUUCUAUGGCAUCUAUCAUCUAUGUGUAGAUGAUAAAAAUUCACCUUCAUAAAACAUAUAAUUUACUUUCCUCUCUAGAGUGAAACGUGCUUUCCAAUAUAUUAACCUUCACUUUUGAAGGUCUAGCUACUCUUUCACAGUUACUCAGUCAGUAGGACUAACACACAGCACAAAUAGUUUUACCUGUAUAUGCACUAAUGUUACCCAGUUUCAACACAGAGCGCACAGCCAACCAGAUAAAGAAUUACUCUGCAAUAAGUGCAGAAAUUGAUUCUAGUCACCUGUCAAAGGAAUACCAGCUGCUACCAUUAGCCAUCAGGCCACAGACUCCAAACAGGUAAAUAAACAGUUGGCAUUACAUUAUUGAGAGAAGCAACAAAAACUGCACUAUGUCACCUAGAUGUAUCACUCACAUCAAGUGUUUAAGCGCUAUCAAGAAUUUCACUGGCAUCUCAUAAAAGAAGUAGUUCUUCUGGUAGAAGAAAUUUACCAGAUCUACAGAAAUUAUAUGUACUUCUUCCCAAGCACUAAAGAUUUCACAUGAAAAUUAAUAAGGAUUCAAUAAGCUUUUGCAUAUGCAUCAAAUGGCUAGCAGCACUGUCUGACAGACAGGAAAAAAAACAACAAAGGAGCAAGACAGGGAAGGAUCACAGAAGAAAACUAGUAUUUAAAGUAGAUAUGUAUUUACCUCAGCGGUCCACAUAGAGUAAGGCCAAAAAACCACAAGAGUGAAAUGACACAUCCAACAACAGCAUGCUUAAAAAUUUUGAUCCACUACAAAAGAAAGGUAUUUCAUUAUCAUUUUCUCCAGAGUUUCAAAAUAAACACUCUAUUACUAGCGUUGUUUUAGUGCAACAGCUCUAUAAAUUGAGGGGAAAACAUGUACUUUGCAAGUUCUAUAAUUUACAGUAUGAUUAUCUUCUUAGAUACUUUGCCAGGCAACUAAGAUUUGGACAUACUAUGAAUCAGAUUUUUUUUUAUACCACAGUCCUAAAUUCUGUAACAUUGUCUGAGUUCUCAACAAAAAGCCUGAAAAAAUAGUUCAAAAAAAUGAAGUCCAUUUACCCAUUCUGUAAUCUAUUACAUAUAUCAGAAAAAAAGAUAAACUGAAUACGAACUAGAUGAAAUAUACAAAUUGAGGCUAAGACCUUAUGCCUACAAAUAUUUAUGUGUGUUAUAUUCUUUCUUCAGGAAGCAGGCUGUAAUUCAGAUAUUCAAUACUUUAUUAACUUCAGAUGCAAGUUUUAAAAGAAAUUAAUUCUGGAAAUAUGCUAAACAAGGUGAAACACCUACAACAAACAUAACAUCUUAAAAAUCCAGAAUUUGAAAUGUUUUAGCAAAAGUAAAACCACAUAUGGACAGAUUUUUUCUGAACUCAAAUCAAAGAUGCCAUUUAUUCCUGUUUACAUUUUAAAAUUCUGCCAUAUGCAUCUAGUCAUGAAAAGCAGUUGACACAAGGAACACUUCAAGGCCAUCCUUCAGAUUCUGUCUACUUACUGCACACACUGGAUCCAGGUUUUGUGCACACAAUUACAUAAAUCCAAGAUGAAUAUGAAGCAGUGAGAAAAUUUAUUCCUCACAAUCAGCACAAAUCCAACCUGGUUCUACUCUAAACUCCUUGGGAUACUGUGAACUCACAAAGGUCUGAUGAGCCGUUAGAUUAGGCCCUCAUCACAAGCACAUGGGUCACUUCUCUUCUGAGUGACAAGACUGGAGCAUUUUGACAUUCUGGCAGUCCAGAAAUUGCCUAACUGUCCAGGCGAGCUAAGUAGACUGAGCUCUUUUUGAAAAUCCAGUCCUUACAGCACAUGCUGGCUUGGCGAUAAGGACCAGCCCUUCCACUGUACUCUCAAAAGAAGCUGACAAAAGUGAAGAAUGUGUCAGUCCACAAGACACUGAGUUAGUAGUAUACCUCUAGAACUUGUAACCACUUCUUCUAAGUAGAGUAAUCUUUGUUCACCACUCAAUUUUGGCAAGAGCCAUAUUGCCAAGAAUAUUGCAAAGAAUGUGAGUCACUCCUACCUAUGUCAACUCACCUGACGCUUGGUUAUUACUUUUCCAGAAGAAAAUGGUUUUUGAAACAAAACCAUAAAAAAAGCAGACCUGUAAAAAGAAGCCAUGCUAACAACAGUCACUGGUUUUAUUUUCCCUGCUGCACUACCCCCAUCAGCUACCACUACUACAGUAAAGACAAGAGAACUUCAGUUCUGGUCAACUUCAAAUGCCAGUUCUUGAGAGAAUAGCUAAUGGUAAGUCAACUUGUGAUUUACAAAAAUCAAAAUAACUGAUCUGACAAGUUUUGAAGAGAAACAAUACUUUGAUUUUUAUUAGCAAGAUAGGUAUCCAAAAAGCCUUACUCAGAUACAGAAUGCUGAAUACACAGUCCUAUAGGAAUAAAAGACACAGCACACAACUUCAUCAAGUAGGAUCAAAAGUGAUGGGCAAAAAAAAACUAUGGUGCUUGGGAAGAUGCAAGAAAGAAGUCCAUAAAUAUACUGAAUAUGAAAUAAAAGGAAAAAAUGAAAUUCCAAAUGUUCCAACUCUCAAGUUUAUUUCAUAAAUGCUCUUCCAUAUCUCAUCAGGUAAACAUGAAGCAGGAUUUUGUCUGCAAAGAUUGUUUCUGUGUAUUUGCUAUCAGUUUUCAUACCUAACCCCUCAACUGGGGAAAAAGAGCAGCUGAAUCCCACAAGAACUUCAGGAAUACAAAUUAUAAAGAAGAAAGCUGAUCUUCUACACCCUUGUUAACAAAAUUUGGACAGGCCCGAGUGUCCGGGUUUCCUCUUGGACUGAGAUAAAUUUUUCUCAGUAGCUGCUACUCCAAUGCUACUGCAGUGCUAUUUUGGAUUCAGUGUGAGAACAAUAUUGAUAACACAGUUUUGGCUGUUCCUUAGUGCUGCUUAUCCAAAGUCAAGGACUUUUUGGUUUCCCACACUCCGGCAGCAAGCAGGUGCACAACAAGCUGGGAGGCAGCAUGGCCAGGAGACCUGGCCUGAACAGGCCAAAGGGAUGCUCCAUGCCAUAAAUACCAUAUACUCAGUACAUAAACUGAGGGAACUACCCACAUGGGGUCAGAUUGUGGAUUGGGGAUGGGCCGGGUAGCGCCACUGUGUGUUGAGUGGUAGCACUGUGCAUCACUUCCUUUUAUUACUGUAUUUGCUUAUUAACUUACUAACAAUUGAUCAGCUUAUUAAGUUCAAUUAUAAAACUCUUCUUAUCGCAAGUCAUGAGUUUUAUUUUUUGAUUUCCUCCUGAUUCUCCUGCCCAGCCCCCUGGGGUGAGGGAAGGUGAGAGCACAUUUGUGUGAUGAUGGUGGAUUGCCAGCUGGAGCAACAGGCACACCAUGACCAACAGCACUGUCAGAACAGGCCCAACUCCAAAGCUGGAAAAACACUGACGUUUCUUGAGGGCAGAGAGGCCUUACAGAGACAUGUGGAAAGACUAGAAAACUGGACAACUGCCAAUGACAUGAAAAGAACGAGUGCUGAUUCUCCAUCUGUGGCGAGGUAACCCUGCUUGUAUGCACAAAGCAGGGCACAAA